rnacentral:tRNA from 1 species
GGGGGCGUAGUACAGUUGGUUAGUACGUCGGCCUGUCACGCCGAAGGUCGCGGGUUCGAGUCCCGUCGUCCCCGCCA